UACAGAGGGUGCAAGCGUUAAUCGGAAUUACUGGGCGUAAAGCGUGCGUAGACGGUUAUGUAAGUCAGAUGUGAAAGCCCAGGGCUCAACCUUGGAAUUGCAUUUGAGACUGCAUAGCUAGGGUGCGGAAGAGGGAAGCGGAAUUUCCGGUGUAGCGGUGAAAUGCGUAGAUAUCGGAAGGAACACCAGUGGCGAAGGCGGCGAUCUGGGUCGAUACUGACGCUGAGGUGCGAAAGCGUGGGGAGCAAACAGGG
rnacentral:rRNA from 1 species